rnacentral:rRNA from 1 species
UACGUAGGGGGCAAGCGUUGUCCGGAUUUAUUGGGCGUAAAGAGCGUGUAGGCGGCCAGGUAGGUCUGCUGUGAAAACUCGAGGCUCAACCUCGAGAUGUCGGCGGAAACCAUCUGGCUAGAGUCCGGAAGAGGAGAAUGGAAUUCCUGGUGUAGCGGUGAAAUGCGCAGAUAUCAGGAAGAACACCCGUGGCGAAAGCGGCUCUCUGGGACGGUACUGACGCUGAGACGCGAAAGCGUGGGGAGCGAACAGG